AGCGAACGCUGGCGGCAGGCCUAACACAUGCAAGUCGAACGGACCUUUCGGGGUUAGUGGCGGACGGGUGAGUAACACGUGGGAACGUGCCUUUUGGUUCGGAAUAGCUCCUGGAAACGGGUGGUAAUGCCGAAUGUGCCCUUCGGGGGAAAGAUUUAUCGCCAUUAGAGCGGCCCGCGUCUGAUUAGCUAGUUGGUGAGGUAAAGGCUCACCAAGGCUACGAUCAGUAGCUGGUCUGAGAGGAUGACCAGCCACAUUGGGACUGAGACACGGCCCAAACUCCUACGGGAGGCAGCAGUGGGGAAUCUUGCGCAAUGGGCGAAAGCCUGACGCAGCCAUGCCGCGUGAAUGAUGAAGGUCUUAGGAUUGUAAAAUUCUUUCACCGGGGACGAUAAUGACG
rnacentral:rRNA from 1 species